AGAGUUUGAUCAUGGCUCAGAACGAACGCUGGCGGUAUGCCUAACACAUGCAAGUCGAACGCGUGUAGCAAUACACGAGUGGCGCACGGGUGAGUAACGCGUGGGAACCUGCCCUGGAGUGGGGGAUAACCCGGCGAAAGCCGGGCUAAUACCGCAUACGACCUAAGGGUGAAAGAUUUAUCGCUCUGGGAGGGGCCCGCGUCGGAUUAGCUAGUUGGUGAGGUAACGGCUCACCAAGGCGAUGAUCCGUAGCUGGUCUGAGAGGAUGAUCAGCCACACUGGGACUGAGACACGGCCCAGACUCCUACGGGAGGCAGCAGUGGGGAAUAUUGGACAAUGGGGGCAACCCUGAUCCAGCAAUGCCGCGUGAGUGAUGAAGGCCUUAGGGUUGUAAAGCUCUUUCGGCGGGGACGAUGAUGACGGUACCCGCAGAAGAAGCCCCGGCUAACUUCGUGCCAGCAGCCGCGGUAAUACGAAGGGGCGAGCGUUGUUCGGAAUUACUGGGCGUAAAGGGCGCGCAGGCGGCCUGAGAAGUCAGAUGUGAAAGCCCCGGGCUCAACCUGGGAAUAGCAUUUGAUACUCUGAGGCUGGAGUGCGGGAGAGGAGAGUGGAAUUCCCAGUGUAGAGGUGAAAUUCGUAGAUAUUGGGAAGAACACCGGUGGCGAAGGCGGCUCUCUGGACCGUAACUGACGCUGAGGCGCGAAAGCGUGGGGAGCAAACAGGAUUAGAUACCCCCGUAGUCC
rnacentral:rRNA from 1 species